rnacentral:rRNA from 1 species
UACGUAGGGAGCGAGCGUUGUCCGGAAUUACUGGGUGUAAAGGGAACGUAGGCGGGACGGCAAGUCAGAUGUGAAAACUAUGGGCUCAACCCAUAGACUGCAUUUGAAACUGUUGUUCUUGAGUGAGGUAGAGGUAAGCGGAAUUCCUGGUGUAGCGGUGAAAUGCGUAGAGAUCAGGAGGAACAUCGGUGGCGAAGGCGGCUUACUGGGCCUUUACUGACGCUGAGGCUCGAAAGCGUGGGGAGCAAACAGG